UAGGGAAUCUUCCGCAAUGGACGAAAGUCUGAUGGAGCAACGCCGCGUGAGUGAAGAAGGGUUUCGGCUCGUAAAACUCUGUUGUUAAAGAAGAACAUAUCUGAGAGUAACUGUUCAGGUAUUGACGGUAUUUAACCAGAAAGCCACGGCUAACUACGUGCCAG
rnacentral:rRNA from 1 species